CAUGCAGUCGAGCGGGGAGAUGUAGCUUGCUACAUUUUCUAGCGGCGGACGGGUGAGUAAUGCUUAGGAAUCUGCCUAUUAGUGGGGGACAACAUUCCGAAAGGAAUGCUAAUACCGCAUACGCCCUACGGGGGAAAGCAGGGGAUCUUCGGACCUUGCGCUAAUAGAUGAGCCUAAGUCAGAUUAGCUAGUUGGUGGGGUAAAGGCCUACCAAGGCGACGAUCUGUAGCGGGUCUGAGAGGAUGAUCCGCCACACUGGGACUGAGACACGGCCCAGACUCCUACGGGAGGCAGCAGUGGGGAAUAUUGGACAAUGGGCGAAAGCCUGAUCCAGCCAUGCCGCGUGUGUGAAGAAGGCCUUUUGGUUGUAAAGCACUUUAAGCGAGGAGGAGGCUACCGAGAUUAAUACUCUUGGAUAGUGGACGUUACUCGCAGAAUAAGCACCGGCUAACUCUGUGCCAGCAGCCGCGGUAAUACAGAGGGUGCGAGCGUUAAUCGGAUUUACUGGGCGUAAAGCGUGCGUAGGCGGCUUUUUAAGUCGGAUGUGAAAUCCCUGAGCUUAACUUAGGAAUUGCAUUCGAUACUGGGAAGCUAGAGUAUGGGAGAGGAUGGUAGAAUUCCAGGUGUAGCGGUGAAAUGCGUAGAGAUCUGGAGGAAUACCGAUGGCGAAGGCAGCCAUCUGGCCUAAUACUGACGCUGAGGUACGAAAGCAUGGGGAGCAAACAGGAUU
rnacentral:rRNA from 1 species